AUUCCAGCUCCAAUAGCGUAUAUUAAAGUUGUUGCAGUUAAAAAGCUCGUAGUUGGAUCUCAGGGUGAGCUCAGUUGGUCGGCCUAAUUGGUCAGAACUGGCUGACUCUCCCUUGUUUCUGAAUCCCGGUCGGAGUUAAUUCUUCGUUCGUGGACCUCGGAUCGUUUACCUUGAAAAAAUUAGAGUGUUCAAAGCGGGCGUUUGCUUGAAUACAUUAGCAUGGAAUAAUGGAAUAGGACCCUGGUUCUAUUUUGUUGGUUUUGAGGACCAGAGUAAUGAUUAAUAGGGAUAGUUGGGGGCAUUCAUAUUUAAUUGUCAGAGGUGAAAUUCUUGGAUUUAUGAAAGAUGAACUUCUGCGAAAGCAUUUGCCAAGGAUGUUUUCAUUG
rnacentral:rRNA from 1 species